UUAGGACAGCAACCUUCCAGAGUGCAAUGGAAGUGACGGACCUAGGCCAUGGGCCUUCUAGAACACCCAUAGACCCCGUCCAGGUAAGUAUGUUCAAAGGUGGCUGGUGUUUUUCUUUAUAUCAUAGCACCUCAGCCUUGUCCUCCUUGCUUCUUUUCCAUGGGGGAUAACAUUCUCGUCAGCCUCGUGAUGUUAAAGCUAAGCAUCAACUCCCGGCGGAGUUGGCGGUCACAAGAAUUUCAGAAUUCCAUCGACGGCCAAGCGCCACCGUCACAGUUUCUUGUUGAAGAAAGCAGUGUUGUGUUGGGUAUACAGAUUCUUCUCCGUCAGUUCCAAUUCCAAUUUUUUGCAGGGUAAGUUGAUUGAAAGAAACAAUAGAUGCUGCCCCUUAAACAGUGUGAAAAGGUGGAUGGACCUGCACUGAAGCGCAUCAAGCAUGUGCUCAUUGUCUUCAUGUACAAAUCCACUGGCAACCAAGUACUAGACUUUUUACGCAACCCGUACGCCAUGGAUAUAGCGGUUUGGAGAAAGAAAGAUGCACCUUGCUGCACUACUACUUGAAUCUUAAUUUGUGGUCGUGUCUCGCCUCCAAAGAUUGGGAGAGCAUCUCUAGUUCUAGAAUGACCACCACGAGUAAUCCACCCAUUACUGAGAAGGGAACUUGAAUCUCAGUCAACAGAUGUCUUUGUUUAUGGGAAGAAGUCAAGAACUGGGGAAGUAAUAUGACUUUGUUAUAAUUUUGUUGUCUUUUAUAAAACAUUUGUGUAUUAAAUAAUGCAUUACAAAUUGUAUUAUUAUUACCUACCAUGAAUCAAUCAAAAAAUCAUCAAUAACAUAA